CUAGUGGCCAUGUCUGCUGAACCGAGGAGGAGGUCCUGAGGGUCCCUCUUUCACUAGGAGAAGGAAACAAAGGCUUCACUGACUCUCGGGGCCCAGCACAUCCUGCCCCAGCUCCGACAUCCUCUCUUGCUCCUGCUGCUGUUCCUGGAAGCUGCUAAGACUGCUAGGGUGCUCCUGCCUCAGGGCCUUUGCAGUAGCCAGGUCCUCCUCCUGCAGAUUUGUGGCUUCCUCCUCACCCCUUCAAAUAUCUGCACAGAGAUCUGCCUCUUCUUGAGCCUUUUCUAACCUCGCUAUUUAAAAUCAUAGUGCCCCCACCACCACCUUUCUUUCUUUCCCCUGAUUUAUUUUUUCACUGCAUCUUCUGAGUUUUGGUUUGUAUUUUUCAUCUCUAGUCACCGAAUGCAAGCUCAAGCCUGUCAUCUCUUGGCUUGCUUUUUUUCCCAGUGCCUGGCACGGAUCAGGCAAAGGCAUUUGUUGAUUGGCAACAAAGUCAGGAUUACUGCUCUUAAACUUAAGCUCCUUUUAUUAUUUUGUUUGAGCAAAUGCCAACAUUUCCUCCCAGUAGAGCUUGUCUUACAUAAUUGCAGUUAAUUAUUCCAGUUAGCGUGGGAAGAGAGAUUCCCUCAGGGACACAGGGGAAAGAAGAAAAAUCCAGACAGUAGAUUUUGACACUUGUUUCUAAUGUCUCUGAAACUACAGGAAAAGAGAAGCUCUAUAGAGAGUGGGUUUGUCUUAAUAAGGCCAAGUGGAAGCCAGAGUGAUGGCCCAGGGAAGCCAGGCCUGAAUCAUAGAACUUGUGUCUGGGAGCAGCAGGCAGAGAAGGCAGACAUGGGACAAGCAGUGACCUCCCUCCUGUCUCCAUACCUGCCCCUCCUCUGGAGCCCUGUGGUCAGGACCCUCAGGGCUGCACUGGAUGCAGCUGCUCAGCUUGGGCUACUCCUAUGCUGCCUGAGUUGGAGUUUGGAUGGCUGUGGCACCAGAUGUCUUCUCUCUGUUUCCUGGGCUGUGGGCUACUGCCCCAGGCUGCACUGAGCCCUCUCUGCCUGUGUGGUCUCCUUAACCUGCAGGAACAGCCCCCAACUGCCAGGAGGUGGGCUGUGCUCCCCAGCUGUACAGUCACAAGUUGAUGUCGCUUUCCUCAGUGAAGAUGUUUUGCAAAUUGACCACCGGGGAAGGCAACCCAGUUGGAGGAGGAGCCCUAAGGACACACCUGAGUUCCUGGAGGGAGAGGAGGACACUGUAGGUAUGGAUAUGGCCAGCUACUGGCCUGUGUGGCACUUCCUGAGGGCCGGCCACAACUUCUCAGUUGCCGAUCAUCUCUCCUGCUGCUCCUGGAUCUCUGACGGAGCCAGAGUCAAAUCCUAUCUCCCAGGGGUGAGCACUCACCUGUCCCCUCCAGCCUCAUGUACAUGUGUGUCACAUCAUGUAUGAAUACACAGGUACACAUUUACCUUUUACAAACACUUGCUAAGUGUUCUGAGAGGAAGUUGUAGAUAGUAUGGCCCUUUGCCCUCUGAAUACUUCUGCCCAAGAAAGUUCUUGUAAGAAAACGUGCUUGUUUAAAAAACAAUCAUCAAAUUAAAGAG
rnacentral:lncRNA from 1 species